GUGAAUGUCUCCCUGAGGAAUUCUACCUGGAGUCACUUUCUCUUCCAGUGAGACCCUGAGUUUUGAGAUGGUACAAGGCAGAAUGUUAAUUAAGCGCUAUAUUCAAAGUGAAAGUACCAGGAAAAUUCGGAAAAGGGAUAAAGAGCUGAGUUUGUCCUGGUAUAGGCAAGAAAGCCUUCAAAGUGGUGGUGGUGAAAUAAUUCGAACGUCUCCCUGGUGUUCCUUCUCCCUAACCCAUCUAUUUCAAGGUAGGGUCUCUCUCUGUUACCCAGGCUGGAGUGCAGAGGUGGGAUCACAGCUCACUGCAACCUUGACCUCCUGGGCUCAAGUGAUUCUCUCACCUCAGCCUCCCAAGUAGCUGGGACUAUGGGCAUAUGCUACCACUUCUGGCUAAUUUUUUAAUUUUUAAAGUUUUUGUAGAGAUGGGGUCUCACCAUGUUGCCCAGGCUCAUCUCAAACUCCUGGGUUCAAGCAGUCUUCCUGCCUCAGACUCCCAAAGUGCUGGGAUUACAGGCAUGAGCUACCGUACCUGGCCAACAGCUCUCUUAAGGUAUAACUGAUGUACAAUUAACUCUACAUAUUUAAAUUGUACAACUUGAACAACUUGAAUGAGUUUUGAUAUAUGUAUACACCUGUGAAACCAUCACCACAAUCAAGAUGACAAGUAUUUCCAUCACCCCAGAAUUUCCUCAUGCCCCUUUUUUAUCCUUCCUUCAUUCCUGUUCCCAGGCAUCCACUGAUCUGCUUCUGUCACUGUAGAUGAAUUUGCAUUUUCUAGAAUUUUAUAUAAAUGGAAUCAUACAGUA
rnacentral:lncRNA from 1 species